AACAGGAUUAGAUACCCUGGUAGUCCACGCCGUAAACGAUGUCGACUAGCCGUUGGGCUCCUUGAGAGCUUUGUGGCGCAGUUAACGCGAUAAGUCGACCGCCUGGGGAGUACGGCCGCAAGGUUAAGACUCAAAUGAAUUGACGGGGGCCCGCACAAGCGGUGGAGCAUGUGGUUUAAUUCGAUGCAACGCGAAGAACCUUACCUACCCUUGACAUCGUGCGAACUUUCCAGAGAUGGAUUGGUGCCUUCGGGAGCGCACAGACAGGUGCUGCAUGGCUGUCGUCAGCUCGUGUUGUGAAAUGUUGGGUUAAGUCCCGUAACGAGCGCAACCCUUGUCCUUAUUUGCCAGCGAGUCAUGUCGGGAACUCUAAGGAGACUGCCGGUGACAAACCGGAGGAAGGUGGGGACGACGUCAAGUCAUCAUGGCCCUUACGGGUAGGGCUACACACGUGCUACAAUGGCCGGUACAAAGGGUUGCGAAGCCGCGAGGUGGAGCUAAUCCCGAAAAGCUGGUCUCAGUCCGGAUCGGAGUCUGCAACUCGACUCCGUGAAGUCGGAAUCGCUAGUAAUCGUGAAUCAGAAUGUCACGGUGAAUACGUUCCCGGGCCUUGUACACACCGCCCGUCACACCAUGGGAGUGGACUGCACCAGAAGUGGUUAGCCUAACUUCGGAGGGCGAUCACCACGGUGUGGUUCAUGACUGGGGUGAAGUCGUAACAAGGUAACC
rnacentral:rRNA from 1 species